CCUACGGGCGGCAGCAGUGGGGAAUAUUGCACAAUGGGGGAAACCCUGAUGCAGCGACGCCGCGUGAGCGAUGAAGUAUUUCGGUAUGUAAAGCUCUAUCAGCAGGGAAGAAAAUGACGGUACCUGACUAAGAAGCCCCGGCUAACUACGUUCCAGCAGCCGCGGUAAUACGUAGGGGGCAAGCGUUAUCCGGAUUUACUGGGUGUAAAGGGAGGGUAGACGGAGAUGAAAGCCAGAGGUGAAAGCGCGGGGCUAAACCCCGGGACUGGAUUUGGAACUGUAUAGCUGGAGUGUCGGAGAGGCAGGCGGAAUUCGUGGUGUAGCGGUGAAAUGGGUAGAUAUUAGGAGGAACACCAGUGGCGAAGGCGGCUUGUGGGACGAUGACUGAAGUGGAGGAUCGAAAGCGUGGGGAGAAAACAGGAUUAGAUACCCGGGUGUC
rnacentral:rRNA from 1 species